rnacentral:rRNA from 1 species
AAGGAACUAACAGGGAUUCCCCUAGUAACUGCGAGUGAAGCGGGAAAAGCUCAAAUUUAAAAUCUGGUAGUCUCUGGCUGCCCGAGUUGUAAUCUAGAGAAGUGUUAUCCGCGCUGGACCGUGUACAAGUCUCCUGGAAUGGAGCGUCAUAGAGGGUGAGAAUCCCGUCUUUGACACGGACUACCAGGGCUUUGUGAUGCGCUCUCAAAGAGUCGAGUUGUUUGGGAAUGCAGCUCUAAAUGGGUGGUAAAUUCCAUCUAAAGCUAAAUAUUGGCGAGAGACCGAUAGCGAACAAGUACCGUGAGGGAAAGAUGAAAAGAACUUUGGAAAGAGAGUUAAAUAGUACGUGAAAUUGUUGAAAGGGAAACGCUUGAAGUCAGUCGCGUUGGCUAGGAAUCAGCCUUGCUUUUGCUUGGUGUACUUCCUUGUUGACGGGUCAGCAUCAAUUUUGACCGGUGGAAAAAGGCUAGUGGAAUGUGGCAUCUUCGGAUGUGUUAUAGCUGCUAGUUGUAUACAUCGGUUGGGAUUGAGGAACUCAGCACGCCGAAAGGUCGGGGUUUUGCCCACGUUCGUGCUUAGGAUGCUGGCAUAAUGGCUUUAAUCGACCCGUCUUGAAACACGGACCAAGGAGUCUAACAUGCCUGCGAGUGUUUGGGUGGAAAACCCGAGCGCGUAAUGAAAGUGAAAGUUGAGAUCCCUGUCGUGGGGAGCAUCGACGCCCGGACCAGACCUUUUGUGACGGAUCCGCGGUAGAGCAUGUAUGUUGGGACCCGAAAGAUGGUGAACUAUGCCUGAAUAGGGUGAAGCCAGAGGAAACUCUGGUGGAGGCUCGUAGCGAUUCUGACGUGCAAAUCGAUCGUCAAAUUUGGGUAUAGGGGCGAAAGACUAAUCGAACCAUCUAGUAGCUGGU